CCUCGAUGUCGGCUCAUCACAUCCUGGGGCUGAAGCAGGUCCCAAGGGUUUGGCUGUUCGCCAAUUAAAGUGGUACGUGAGCUGGGUUUAAAACGUCGUGAGACAGUUUGGUCCCUAUCUUUCGUGGGCGUAGGAUAUUUGAGAGGCUCUGUUACUAGUACGAGAGGACCGUAAUGGACGAACCUCUGGUGUUCCAGUUGUCGCGCCAGCGGCAUAGCUGGGUAGCUAUGUUCGGAAAGGAUAACCGCUGAAAGCAUAUAAGCGGGAAGCCUCCCUCAAGAUAAGAUAUCCCCU
rnacentral:rRNA from 11 species